UAUACAUUUUUGGUGAUGAUAUUUUGUGUAGGAAUCUCAUUGAAUACCUUUUAAAGUGUAAUGAAAGCAUCAACUAACUGAUCUGACUAAU